rnacentral:rRNA from 1 species
AGGGAAUCUUCCGCAAUGGACGAAAGUCUGACGGAGCAACGCCGCGUGAGUGAUGAAGGUUUUCGGAUCGUAAAGCUCUGUUGCCAGGGAAGAACGUCUUAGAGAGUAACUGCUCUAAGAGUGACGGUACCUGAGAAGAAAGCCCCGGCUAACUACGUGCCAGCAGCCGCGGUAAUACGUAGGGGGCGAGCGUUGUCCGGAAUUAUUGGGCGUAAAGCGCGCGCAGGCGGCUGUUUAAGUCGUGUGUUUAAUCCUGGGGCUCAACCCCGGGUCGCACUGGAAACUGGACGGCUUGAGUGCAGAAGAGGAGAGUGGAAUUCCACGUGUAGCGGUGAAAUGCGUAGAGAUGUGGAGGAACACCAGUGGCGAAGGCGACUCUCUGGGCUGUAACUGACGCUGAGGCGCGAAAGCGUGGGGAGCAAAC